GCUGGGCAUGGUGGCGCAUGCCUGUAGUCCCAGCUACUUGGGAGGCUGAGGCAGGAGAAUUGCUUGAACCAGGAGGCAGAGGUUGCAGUGAGCCGAGAUUGCACCACUGCACACUCCAGCCUGGUGACAGAGCAAGACUCUGUCUCAA
ensembl:misc_RNA Metazoa_SRP Metazoan signal recognition particle RNA